rnacentral:rRNA from 1 species
ACGGGUGAGUAAUGCUUAUCUAACUUGCCAAUUAGUGGGGGAUAACCAUGGGAAACCAUGGCUAAUACCGCAUUUGUUACUUCGGUAAUGAAAGAGAGUCGCAAGAUUCUCGCUAAUUGAUAGGGAUAAGUCGUAUUAGUUAGUUGGUGGGGUAAUGGCCUACCAAGACCAUGAUGCGUAGCCAGUCUGAGAGGAUGAAUGGCCACAAGGGAACUGAGACACGGUCCCUACUCCUACGGGAGGCAGCAGUGAGGAAUUUUCGGCAAUGGGGGCAACCCUGACCGAGCAAUACUACGUGAAGGAGGAAGGUCUACGGAUUGUAAACUUCUGUUAGCAGGGAAGAAGGGCUGGACGUGAGUUCAGUUUUGACGGUACCUGCAGAGAAAGCGACGACUAACUACGUGCCAGCAGUCGCGGUAAGACGUAGGUCGCGAACGUUAUCCGGAAUUAUUGGGCGUAAAGGGUGCGUAGAUGGCCUGACAAGUUAACAGUGGUAAAUCGAGGCUUAACCUCGUGGAAGCUGAUAAUACUGUCUGGCUCGAGUACAGAAGAGGUUAACGGAACUCCAUGUGGAGCGGUAAAAUGUGUAGAUAUAUGGAAGAACAUCAAUAACGGCGAAGGCAGUUAACUAUUCUGUUACUGACAUUGAGGCACGAAAGCGUGGGGAGCAAAACGGAUUAGAUACCCGUGUAGUCCACGCCCUAAACGAUGAGUACUAGAUAUUGGGAACUUGAUUCUCAGUGUCGCUAGGUAACCCGGUAAGUACUCCGCCUGGGUAGUACGCUCGCAAGAGUGAAACUCAAAGGAAUUGACGGGGACUCGCACAAGCAGUGGAGCAUGUGGUUUAAUCCGAUACAACGCGUAGAACCUUACCAAGGCUUGACAUGUUGGGCAAAGCUAGGGAAACCUAGUGGAGGUUAUCCUAACACAGGUGCUGCAUGGCCGUCGUCAGUUCGUGCCGUGAGGUGUAUGGUUAAGUCCUAUAACGAACGCAACCCUUGGGCUUAGUUACCAGCAUUCAGUUGGGGACUCUAAGCCGACUGCCUGAGCAAUCAGGAGGAAGGAAAGGAUGACGUCUGGUCGUC